rnacentral:rRNA from 1 species
AAAGCGUGCGCAGGCGGUUAUACAAGACAGAUGUGAAAUCCCCGGGCUCAACCUGGGAAUUGCAUUUGUGACUGUAUGGCUAGAGUGUGUCAGAGGGGGGUAGAAUUCCACGUGUAGCAGUGAAAUGCGUAGAUAUGUGGAGGAAUACCGAUGGCGAAGGCAGCCCCCUGGGAUAACACUGACGCUCAUGCACGAAAGCGUGGGGAGCAAACAGGAUUAGAUACCCCUGU